rnacentral:rRNA from 1 species
AUCCUGAAUGGAGAUUUCAACAUUGUGUGCAAUCCAGAGGAGCGCAUCACUGGGAGAGUGAACAGGAGGCUGAUGAAUAAGUUUCGGCACACGAUCAACAAGUUGGGGCUCCACGACAUGCCUCUGAUUGGGCGUCGCUUCUCUUGGUGCAAUCAAUAGGAGAACGCCAUCUUGGCAAGGCUGGACCGUGUGCUC